rnacentral:rRNA from 1 species
CAGUAGCCGCGGUAAUACGAAGGGGGCUAGCGUUGCUCGGAAUGACUGGGCGUAAAGGGCGCGUAGGCGGAUUGUUUAGUUAGGCGUGAAAUUCCUGGGCUUAACCUGGGGACUGCGCUUAAUACAGGCAGUCUAGAGUGAGGAAGAGGGUUGUGGAAUUCCCAGUGUAGAGGUGAAAUUCGUAGAUAUUGGGAAGAACACCGGUGGCGAAGGCGGCAACCUGGUCCUUGACUGACGCUGAGGCGCGAAAGCGUGGGGAGCAAACAGGAUUAGAGACCCGCGUAGUCCCUGUCUCUUAUAC